rnacentral:rRNA from 1 species
UACGUAGGUGGCUAGCGUUGUACGGAUUUACUGGGCGUAAAGAGCGCGCAGGCGGUCGUUCAAGUCGAGUGUGAAAGCCCCCGGCUCAACUGGGGAGGGUCACUCGAUACUGAUCGACUUGAAGGCGGGAGAGGGAAGCGGAAUUCCCGGUGUAGUGGUGAAAUGCGUAGAUAUCGGGAGGAACACCAGUGGCGAAGGCGGCUUUCUGGCCCGUUCUUGACGCUGAGGCGCGAAAGCUAGGGUAGCAAACGGG